UAUAAAGUGUAUCAUAAUAGAUGAGCUAGAUGGUAGGACGCCAGUCCUGGAAAACCCACCCGCCCGUUCUUGUCGGCUGUGCGGCCUUGACAUGGCCUAGUUACAUUUCCGUUACAUUGUAGUUCAAAUAUCCCCACACAGCGUCAGUGUAAAGGGUUCAGGUCACUAAACACAGAUGAACUCACAGAACUGGGGCAGAGCAAGGCCCAAGCGUGCUAUACACAGCAUGGCCAGCUUCCCCACCUACCACGGUCACCUCGGCAUCCUGAUGUGGGGCAGUGGUGACUCUUAGCCUAUUACUCUUCAUUGCCUUCCUCCCGGUGCUGCCUGCCCUGCAUGCACAGGGCUGUGUGACACAUUCUCAAUUCAUGGUGUGUACACCAGGUGCCUCUCGUCCCGCUGUUAACUCUUUACAUGCCUCACUUGUAGCAAUGCCAUGACCAGGUGUAGCGGAAUUCACAAAAGCUCCCCACUGAGUGAGCGUUGAAAUUGUCUCCAGACUGUCACUGUUACAGAUGAUUUGUGGACACACCUGUGCAUACACCUAUGUCCCCGUCCCUGGUCAGAUGGGAGGACUGUUACUGAAGCUGUCUAUUUGUGUGGUCAGGCUGUAUUCCUGGAGCUUGUAACUGACUCCCGUGUCUGUCGCAGAUUUAAUUAGGUAGUAUAUCCUGUCAAGUGCAAAGUCAAGACCACAUCCCUUCCA
rnacentral:lncRNA from 1 species